UCCACAAGGAUUUUUGUCCUGGUCACUCGCACGUGCUGCAUCAGGUGCUAGUGACUGUGAAUAAAUUGUCAGUCAGGUACCUGAAGUAGCGCGCGGAGAGACUCAGGCCUUGCAUCAUAUCUGGU
rnacentral:precursor_RNA from 12 species